rnacentral:lncRNA from 1 species
UAACUGUAACGCAAGUACAACUUCAAUGUCAGCCCUCGCCGUACACAGCAGCAUCAACACAAGGAUUUGCACGCAAGGUGCAGAAGUGUAAAGCAGGAUUUCCGCAGAAGCGGGAAAAGUGGAGCGCAUCUGCGGUAGCGCAAAAGGGGAAGCCGUGAUCGCAGAAGUGGGGAUGUGCGCAGAAGCGCAGUUUGUGUCGCACCUGCGCUUGCGCAGAAGCUGUGCCUGUUGCGCAGGUGCGGAAGAGCGGACUUCUAGUGUUUUCCGCAGAAGCGGAGUUUUGUCGCAAAAGUGACGCCGUAGAAGCGACUCUUUUGUUCGCAAAUGCGAAAAUGGCUGGGCAGAAGCUAUAAUUUCGAGGGUUGGUCGUUUUAUUCACAUUUUUGAGACUUGGAGCUCGGUUUUGGGCGACUUUGGAGAACACGAAUUGGGGUAGGCAUUCUUAACUCGGAUGUGAUUAUAUUUCGCGAAUCUAUCUUCAUUUUUGGUAAUUGGAUUAUGAAUUUUUAAGAGUAAUUGGGUGAUUUUGUCUAAAAUUUCAUAAAGUGAAUUUUCGAGUUUUGAACGAUUCGGAGUCGGAUUUGACUAAAACUAGUAUGGUUGGACUCGUAAUUGAAUGGGUUGUCGGAUUUUGUGAGUUUUGUUGGGUUCCGAUGUGCAGUCCCGGGUUUGACUUUUGGGUUGACUUUGGACUUUUGAUUAAAGAUUCGACCUUUAUCGAUAAGGUUUGUUUCCUUUGGCAUUAUUUGAUGUUCUUGAGUUGCUUUUGGCUAGUUUCGAGCCGUUCGAAGGUGGACACGCGCGGGAUGAAAUUCUGGAGUGUCGUUUGGCUUGCUCGGUAUGUCUUGGCUUAGACAAAAUGUUAGACAAAAUCCCCCAAUUCCUCUUAAAAAUUCAUAAUCCAAUUACUAAAAAUGAAGAUAGAUUCGCGAAAUAUAAUCACAACCGAGUUAAGAAUGCCUACCCCAAUUCGUGUUCUCCAAAGUCGCCCAAAACCGAGCUCCAAGUCUAAAAAAUGUGAAUAAAACGACCAACCCUCGAAAUUAUAGCUUCUGCCUAGCUGUUUUCGCAUUUGCGAACAAAAGGGCCGCUUCUGCGGUGUCGCUUUUGCGACAAAACUCCGCUUCUGCGGAAAACACUAGAAGUCUGCUCUUCCGCACCUGCGCAACAGGCACCGCUUCUGCGCAAGCGCAGGUGCGACACAAACUGCGCUUCUGCGCACAUCCCCCCUUCUGCGAUCACGGUUUCCGCUUUUGCGCUACCGCUGAUGCGGUCCACUUUCCCCGCUUCUACGGAAAUCCUGCUCCCAGCCUUACUUCGCUUCUGCGCCCACAUGACCGUAUUUGCUGCUCCGCACCUGCGCCCAAUAUUCCGCAGGUGCGGUCACACUAGGUCCAACAAAGACCAGCCAUCACACAUGAAUGAAAGAUGAUCUGAAAUACGUCCGUAACUCACCCGAGCCCCUCGGGACCCCGUCCGAAUAUACCAACAAGUUCCAUAACAUAACACAGAACUACUCGAGGCCUCAAAUCAUGCAUAUCAACAUCGAAACGACGAGUCGCACCUCAAACCAAAUCUAAUGAACUUUUGAAAUUCCAACUUCUAAAACUCGUGCCGAAACAUAUCAACUCGGAAUGAACUCAAAUUUUGCACACAAAUUCCAAAUGACAUAACGAAGCUAUCCCAAUUCCCGGAACCACAAUCUGAACCCGAUAUCAUCAAAAUCAACUCCCGGUC